UCUGGCGUCUUUCAGGCGUCCGAGUUGUAAUCUAUAGAGGCGUUUUCCGCGCCGGACCGCGUCCAAGUCUCUUGGAAUAGAGUAUCAAAGAGGGUGACAAUCCCGUACUUGACGCGACAACCGGUGCUCUGUGAUACGUUCUCAAUGAGUCGAGUUGUUUGGGAAUGCAGCUCUAAAUGGGUGGUAAAUUCCAUCUAAGGCUAAAUAUUGGCGAGAGACCGAUAGCGAACAAGUACCGUGAGGGAAAGAUGAAAAGCACUUUGGAAAGAGAGUUAAACAGCACGUGAAAUUGUUAAAAGGGAAACGAUUGAAGUCAGUCGUGUGAAAGGUAUUCAGCCGUCUCUGGCGGUGUAUUUGCCUUUCACGGGUCAACAUCAGUUUGAUCCGGUAGAAAAAGGCGGGAGGAAGGUGGCACCCUCGGGUGUGUUAUAGCCUCCUGUCAUAUGUGCCGGACCAGACUGAGGAACGCAGCUUGCCGCAAGGCCGGGGUUCGCCCACGUACAAGCUUAGGAUGUUGACAUAAUGGCUUUAAACGACCCGUCUUG
rnacentral:rRNA from 1 species